rnacentral:rRNA from 1 species
AACGAACGCUGGCGGCAUGCCUAACACAUGCAAGUCGAACGAGACCUUCGGGUCUAGUGGCGCACGGGUGCGUAACGCGUGGGAACCUGCCGUUCGUCUCGGAAUAACACCCCGAAAGGGGUGCUAAUACCGGCUAAUGUCUUCGGACCAAAGAUUUAUCGCCUUUGGAUGGGCCCGCGUUGGAUUAGCUAGUUGGUAGGGUAAAAGCCUACCAAGGCGACGAUCCAUAGCUGGUCUGAGAGGAUGAUCAGCCACACUGGGACUGAGACACGGCCCAGACUCCUACGGGAGGCAGCAGUGGGGAAUAUUGGACAAUGGGCGAAAGCCUGAUCCAGCAAUGCCGCGUGAGUGAUGAAGGCCUUAGGGUUGUAAAGCUCUUUUACCCGGGAUGAUAAUGACAGUACCGGGAGAAUAAGCUCCGGCUAACUCCGUG